UGGAAAUAUGAAAUGAGACCAGGACAGCACUCCCCUUGGUUAGGAUGGAAGAAGUCCUAAUGGACUUAUCCAUGUUUAAGACUGUCACUUACUUUGUGGCAUCUAGUGUAUAU
rfam:Cathartes aura contig215652, whole genome shotgun sequence.